rnacentral:rRNA from 1 species
UACGGGGGGAGCAAGCGUUGUUCGGAUUUACUGGGCGGAAAGGGCGCGUAGGCGGCUAGAUGUGUCAAAGGUGAAAUCCCUCGGCUCAACUGAGGAACUGCCUUUGAAACUGUCUGGCUUGAGGCCGGGAGAGGGUAGCGGAAUUCCCAGUGUAGCGGUGAAAUGCGUAGAUAUUGGGAGGAACACCAGUGGCGAAGGCGGCUACCUGGACCGGUUCUGACGCUGAGGCGCGAAAGCGUGGGUAGCAAACAGG